AUGAUGCAAAGCUCCUCGCAGAGCUCCUGGAGCUUAGUGCAGCAGGGGAUGGAGCUACACGCUGGGUUUGUUCAACCUUUGUUUUCCCAUUUAAUCCAGCCAUUCAUAUGCACAUCCAGCCCUCUGUGUGCCCACUUGUUUGCCCCCUCUUCUAAAGUUUUAUGGCAGGACCCAGCACUGCUGAGUCAGACCAGGACUAGAAAUACUGAAAGGAAUUGGGAAGAAUGUACCCUACUGCAGGCUUAGCGUAACUGUGUGUGCUGGAGAAGUGGACGGUGCAGAACAUGCUUACCCUGAACAGUCUCUUUCUUAUUGCUACUGUUGAAGACAAGAUAAGAUCUCCAAAAUCAUGAAAAAGGCUAAAAACAUGGUGUUUGGUAGCAUUAUGAUUCUUUUCACGUUCUUUUCAGAUCCAGAAGCUUGAGGGAAUGCUCUGACCAUGUCCUCAAACCCAUCUCUGCCUCCUGACAAAUUUUAGUGACGCUGUGCUGUCCUCAUCUAGAUUGUCCGUAGGAAAGCCAAAACUGCUUAAUUGACUCUACCCCAUAUAGAAAAGGGAGAAAAAGAGUUGAAUAUCAUAUGUGAGCAAAAAUGAGGAGAAAAUAGGACUUAACGGAAGUCCUGCUCCCAUAGCUGCACAUCAGUCCCUGAACCAAUGUGGUUAUGCCUAUGUGAGACUGCGUUUGAGCAGUGAUUCUGAUACCCUAAAUAUUCUCAUGCAAAAAGAGUUCUCAUUGUUUUUCAUGAUGUACGCACUACAGUUGGAGAUAUCCAAGUGAUCUCCACGUAAUGCGUCACAACUGAGUUCAGGUGGAACUGGGUUUAACACAACAGGUCUAUUUGAGAGCAUUGCCUCACAGGAAAAAUGACUUUAAAUAUUUGUUCAGCACUUGCUGUGCUACCGCUGUGCUGUAACACUGCUCCUGUAAGCCCUGAGCCUCGGUUAGCAUCCCUCUGAAGCAGAGGACUGGAUGUGAUGUGCAGGGCCUCACUGCUGUCUCACAGCCCCUGUGAAGGCAGAUGUGUACAUGUGUGCCAUUGCUUCACCAAAGGCUCAUUACGUGACACUGUGUGACAGCUGAGUAAUACUUUCAACAGAAACAGAACUCUGUCUUCAGCCUGCUGACUGCUGUUCAGAACAUGCUUUAUCCUUGUCAGGAAGCUGUCAAAGGCUGGCAGCAGUGCUGAAAGAAAGUUCCAGUGCCAUUUCUCCAGACUCUGAUCUCCAUAAUGGGAAAUAGUAAUACAGAGUAGGAAUGCAUGUGAAGGAUGUUAUAAAGGCGUAGGGGAUUUUACCUUGACCAAACUGUUUAGAAAACACAGACAGAGUUGUCAGCUAGAGUGACUCAGUAUGGUUUAUAUUGACUUCAGCUUCAACAAGAUGUCCUUUCCUGGGGGUGCAGCGUAAAUAUUGACAAGUCUGCUGUUACUCAUUGGAAAUAAUGAGCCAAAGAGAAAGAGAGAGAGCCUGUGGGCACACAAGGCCAAGGCCUCCCGAAUGAAGCUCUGUGUCUUAAAACCAUGACACUCUGAACAGGGGACAGAGACGUCACCAUCCCAGGGCAGGACCAGGCCCAUAGCAGCCAUGGCCCUGCACAGCCGGGAGGUCACCUCACCAGCCCAUGGCACUGGGGCAGGCUGGGGUCAAGGCAGGGAUGGAACUGGGCAAGGUGAGGGCUGCACCAUGGUGGCACAAGCUCACAGCAGUGCAUCUCACUCCAGCAGUGGGCCUCAGCUCAGUCAGCCAUGCUCUGCAGGGCAAAGUGCCCCAUGCCAUGGCAAGAGAGCCUGACUUUUCCAUCUCCAUAAAGCAAUGUUAUUGCUGCCAUCUUCUCCUAAUAUCCUUGGAUGGCUAGUAGUCCAAAGAGAACUAUAUCUCAUUAGUGUGAAUUAGAAUUUUUCUGAAUCUUCAGCAGGGUAAUUUCUGAAUGACUUUGGGAUAAAAGGAGUAAGAAAGAGUAUUUUAAUUUCCAGACUAAAACAGGGAUUAGGAGAUGACAAAUUUAGAUAAGCCUCUCAGAAGAGCUCUUAGUAAACUGCUCACUCCUCUUUGCAGGGAAUGUGAAAACCCAGAGGGUUAUCCCCGUAGAUUAGAGAAGUCCAUUUGGAGAAGCUGGUCUGUGCUCAGCAGAAGAAUUAGAAAAUAAAUGUUACUACUACUGUUGUUCCCA
rnacentral:lncRNA from 1 species